rnacentral:rRNA from 1 species
GAUGAACGCUGGCGGCGUGCCUAAUACAUGCAAGUCGAGCGAACAGAUAAGGAGCUUGCUCCUUUGACGUUAGCGGCGGACGGGUGAGUAACACGUGGGUAACUUACCUAUAAGACUGGAAUAACUCCGGGAAACCGGGGCUAAUGCCGGAUAACAUGUUGAACCGCAUGGUUCUACAGUGAAAGGCGGCUUUGCUGUCACUUAUAGAUGGACCCGCGCCGUAUUAGCUAGUUGGUGAGGUGACGGCUCACCAAGGCAACGAUACGUAGCCGACCUGAGAGGGUGAUCGGCCACACUGGAACUGAGACACGGUCCAGACUCCUACGGGAGGCAGCAGUAGGGAAUCUUCCGCAAUGGGCGAAAGCCUGACGGAGCAACGCCGCAUGAGUGAUGAAGGUCUUCGGAUCGUAAAACUCUGUUAUUAGGGAAGAACAAAUGCGUAAGUAACUGUGCGCGUCUUGACGGUACCUAAUCAGAAAGCCACGGCUAACUACGUG